rnacentral:rRNA from 1 species
GCCAGACUCCUACGGGAGGCAGCAGUGGGGGAUAUUGCACAAUGGGGGAAACCCUGAUGCAGCAACGCCGCGUGAGUGAAGAAGUAUUUCGGUAUGUAAAGCUCUAUCAGCAGGGAAGAGAAUGACGGUACCUGACUAAGAAGCCCCGGCUAACUACGUGCCAGCAGCCGCGGUAAUACGUAGGGGGCGAGCGUUAUCCGGAUUUACUGGGUGUAAAGGGAGCGUAGACGGCUGGUCAAGUCUGAAGUGAAAGCCCGGGGCUUAACCCCGGAACGGCUUUGGAAACUGAGCAGCUAGAGUGCUGGAGAGGUAAGCGGAAUUCCUAGUGUAGCGGUGAAAUGCGUAGAUAUUAGGAGGAACACCAGUGGCGAAGGCGGCUUACUGGACAGUAACUGACGUUGAGGCUCGAAAGCGUGGGGAGCAAACAGGAUUAGAUACCCGAGUAAA